GCUUCACAGCUGGGGGGCGGGGCCUCGGGGUGACCCUGCCGGCGCGGGCCGCAUUUGGCCGCAGAGCCGCUCGAGCAGCAGCAGUCAGCGGAGAGCCUGGUGCUUGCGGAGCUGCCACCAUGCCCAAGUGCCCGCGUUGCCAGAAGGAGGUCUACUUCGCUGAGAAGGUUACCUCCCUGGGGAAAGACUGGCAUCGACCAUGCUUGAAGUGUGAGAAAUGCAACAAGACUCUGACUUCAGGCGGCCAUGCUGAGCAUGAUGGGAAGCCCUAUUGCAACCAGCCGUGCUACUCUGCCUUGUUUGGACCCAAAGGUAAGUUUCCAUGCUUGGGGCUUCCAGCAGGGAGGGGUGGGAUAUUGGGUACUGGCACCGAUGGUGUCUGUCUCCAGGGAUUCUUGCCCAGAAGCAUGAUCACAUGUUCCAGCACACAGAUCCAUGCGCACACACACCCCCUGUGUCCAUCCAUAGCCACUCCUGCCUGAACUCCCAGCUCACAAGCCCCCCAUGCACUCCCCACAGCCACUCCCCCUUAGCCCCUUGUCUUCCCCCAUAUGUUCCUAAACUUGUGGGCAAACCGCUAGAGCCAUGUGCACACCCCUAAAUACACCUACACCCAUUACACUUUACACCUGUCCUCCCCUUCACACUCUCCACUCGUAAGGCUGUCAGCCCACAUCCUCCUGUGUGCAGUCACCCUUUGACAUCUACUCACGCCUCCUUCACCUUUCUCCAGGGGCCGGGCAACUUUCCCUUGACCUCUUUACAGGCACUGCCUCAGACUUGAAUUGUGGCCUUUGGAGCAGAAGCUCUGUCUCUCACAGAGAGAGGUGCUCCUCUGGAUCUGCACUGUGGUUUCUCUCUGGGUAGGAUGUUCAAAAGGUCUCAAGAGGUCUCAGCGCUGGCCCAGCUCAGAAGUCAAUGGGAGUUUUGCUUUUUACUUCAGCAGGAGCAGAGUUAGGUCAAUGCUGUGGCCUGGCCUACACCUACAAUUUAGGUUGAGCUAGCUUCAUGCCCUGACCACUGUAGUUAGGUCAGCCUAACCCAUGAUAUAGAGGUGGCUAGGUCGACAGAGGGAUUCUCCUACCGCCAGUCAGAGAGGUGGAUUGCCUGCGUCAACAGAAAGCCCCCUUCUGUCACUGUAGGAAGUAUCUAUGCUACAGUGCUCCAGCAGCACAACUGCAGCGCUGUAACUGUCGCUGCAGCGUAGACGUGCCCUGAGUGUUUGGAAGAAAUCUCACCCUCCCCGUGUUCGGAUUCUACGGUCACAGGUUUGUUCUCUGUUGCACAGGUGUAACUCUCCAAGGAGCUGAUGGGCAUUGUACCAGUGUGAGUGAUGGCACAAAUGGGCCUGCUCAUCUGGACAUGGCACGAGUCAACUUAAGUGCUUUGGACAUUUCACUGUAGUGAGGCACUCUAGUGUGAAGGUGUAUGGACACUUUCACAGGCCGGUCUCGCUGCAAAACCCAGCCGUGUAGUCACAGAUUGAAGGGUGUGAAAACCCACAAGCCCAUGCAAUUUGCCAGAAUAUCUUAGAGGCUUCGAAGAGAUGAGAAUGCUGAGGAGAAGGAAUCUCAAAACUUGUAGGGCUCCAGACACUGCUACUCAGCAAGCUUUAGAAAGUUUUGAGUUUCAGGUCUGAAUUCUCCCCUCUCUGCUGCCGCCACCCAAAGUCCCCGCAGCUCUUUGGUUUCAGGUUCAAUACGUCAGUACGCACUCCUUUGGAAUGUGAUUUGCUGAAUGCGAUUGUUGAUAUGGCUUCAAUGCUAGAGGCUGUGGAAUUCCAUUGAAUUCCUGCCCCGCCAUCCACUCUGUGGCUGCUGGGGUGUAAUGUGAAGUGUCAUCUACAAUCUACGUGCCUUUCCAAGUCAGCAGGUUAUUGACUUAAGCCUUAACAGAAGCUAGUGGGCUAUGCUGGACAAUGAGGCAGCCAGAUCCCUGGCUGAGCUAUGCAGCUGUUGCUUGUCAGCAUGUGGGUUGGCUGGGAACAUGGAAUCUCUCUCUUUAUCUCUAGAAGCUACAAGGGUAAAAUGCCAGGCUGCGCCAGGCCAUUUAGUGGGAGAACUAGAGUCAGGAGUGACUGUAGUCUGCCCCCUCCUGCCGCUAGGCAAAGGGUUCUUCUAGCAGCAUCCUCAGUCUCUGGAGGAUGGGACCCACUUGUAUCCCCCCAAGACACCUCAGUGGGCUCAGAGGAGCUGCAGUCCUGCUGCCAGGGCAGGGCUAGCACAUCAGUAGCUGGAACCCUGAUGACACCAGUUCAGAUUCCUUAAUUACUGAGUAUGCAGCCUGGGUAGGAUUGUGGGGGCAAGGCGGGGAAGGAGAGCACUGAGGGUACAUCUACACAGAAAUCAGAUGCCCAUGGCUCGCCCGUGCCAGCUGAUUUGGGCUAAUAGCUGUUUAAUUGCAGUGUAGACAUUCUGGCUUGGGUUGCAGCCUGAGCUCUGGGACAGCAGAGAGAAGGGCAGACUGCUGCGCACAGCUGGUUUGGAGGGUAAAUUGAAAGAUAACCCACACGGUGACCAUGUUCCUCCCACACGCAACAGAGGUUUCCUUCCCUCAGUGCCCUGGUCUCAAGUCCCUUCCCCAGCUCACUGCUUCCAGGCGCCUGAUAAGAGGGAAGCCAUCACCCAGUAACCCCGUAACAAAGGCAUGUUCCCCCCCAGGGGUAGGCAGCUGCCUCCCGGGCUGCUAGCCCCACGCUCACCCUGUCCUGUCCUGUCCUAGCCCUUCCCCUGGGCCUGGUUUUCAAUGCUUGGCACCUGGAGCUGGCUUUCCAGGAGGACUCCACACCCUUUGUGCCACUUGGCCUCUUUAUGCAUCACCCUUGAUUCCUCCUGCUGCUCUUGCCUUGGGGUGGGGUGGAGCUGCGCCUACGGGAGGCAGUGUCUCUGCCAGGACUGCUCCCGCGCACCUUGCGCCAGCCACUGGGCUGCCCUCAAAUGGCUCCCUCUCCUGGUCUUCCUCCUGCGGGGAAGGGGCAGGCAGGUAGGUCAUUCCCCAGCCUCCUUUUCAGCAGCGACUCCCCGAGGGGGAGCAGGAGCGAGCUCUGGCGGUGCUGUUGUGAACAGCCCCACAAGGCUGGGUAACGUGUGCUCACACCCCAGUCCCUUUCACAGCCAUGCAGGGGCUGAGUGCUGUCCAGGCUGUUGAGGCAGGAACUCCAUGGCUAUAGGGCUGAGCUCCUUUCCCCUUUUGAUUCUUCUGCUCUUUGGAACCAAUCCCCUGGAGGGAAAAGCCACUCGCUGCUCCCCGCACGUAGGCCCCCUGUAAUGCUCUGUGGGCUGGGUCUAAUCAGCACUUGUAGGGCUGGAGUUCUAACAGACCAUGCCAGGGCUCAGGCUACCAGCAGGGGGGCUGUUCACUUCCAGCAUUCUGUAGGGAGGGGCCUUACACUAUGAACAGGUUUUAAAUAGACAUGUAGGACUGGAUGGGACCUCAAGAGGUCUCCUAGUCCAGUCCCUGCAAUCUGAACAUGAAUUUGCUGCUGCUAAAGAUGAGACUGAAAUCCUCUGCGUCUGCAGAGGAUGGGCAUGGCAGGAGCAGCUCCGGAGCUGGCUUCCCUGGGGCCUGCCUCCUGUCAGCGUGCUCCUGCUGAGCAGGGAGUGCAGCCCACAGCCCAGCACUCCUUGCUUGCCCUUUCCACUGAGGCUGACAACGCUGGGCCAGCUAGCUUGUGCUCCUACAUUUGUGAGCUGGGCUCCUGUGCCACUGAGGGACUAGGACCCCAUGCCCCACUUCACACAGGCUGCUGCCCAGCUCUCAGCCCUUAGUGCACUGGGUCACUGCUGGCCACAGGCCACGCUGAGCUCGUGACCGAGCUAUUAGAGGCUCUGACUCUCGUUCCAGCUCCCCUGUACCCCAGUUAGUGUUUCCCUCUCUAUCUGGAGGGAAGUUGGGCCCCAGUGUGUGAGUGGUUUCCAUUUGAAAUGUCGUAUUGCAGACGGCUCUGUCCCAGUCCCAUCUAAAGCCAUGAGCUGGGCUGUCAGAGGUGUCUCCUAGGCUUUUGGCUCAUGGCCCUGGGAAUAUUCAGGCUGUGGUCAUCGUCCUCCCCCCAGCUUGGGUGUUGUGUUUGGUCUCUGUGCUCUGUGGCAGUUCCAGGACACUGGAAGGCAUGUCUCUUAUUCAUAUUGGCAUAGUGCCUUGGAUCCCUGUUGUGAACCAGGGCCCCGCUGCACAAACACAGCAGCCCCUGCCCCAAAGAGCUGCCAAUCGGUGUAAGAAAAGAACGACAGAUGGCUACAGACAGUUGGGGAAAUAUGGGUCAGCAGGAGAGGCAGUUGUCUCACUGGCCCAAGGGCUCUUCCCGCCGUGGCACUGGUUCCUGCUCCCUGCCUCAAGCCUCAGGUGGUAAUGACCCCGUUCUGGUUCUCUUGCAGGAUUUGGCCGGGGCGGUACUGAGAGUCACACAUUCAAGUAAACCUCAGGGCUGGAUGGAGAGGAUUCCUUGUGGAGCCUGAGGACAGCGCAAGCACCGUGACAAAUGCAUUUUUAAUUCACUAUGUAAUUAACUAGCACAUUAAAAGCAAUAAAUUACCUAGAGGAAUUUAGCUGGCAGUGAUGGGAGAGUCUCUGCUCUGUAUCUAUCAGGAUGUGGCGUUGGGGAGGGGAGGAGUUGGCCAAUAUCACUGAAAGUCUUGUGGAAAAGAGAAGGUCCCAGAUCCCCUUCCAGCCAAACAUGUAGCCCUGCUUUCACACCCAACCUCUAGCGGCAGGAGUCUGCACUUGUAUUUGUAGCCACUAAUAAAGCCAGAAUGAAAGCUG